rnacentral:rRNA from 1 species
CUAACGUGGCUGCUAUGCCACCUGGUGAAUAGCUCGGCUCGAGAGCCGACGAAGGACGUGCCAAGCUGCGAUAAGCCUGCGGGAGCUGCAUGGAAGCGAAGAACGCAGGAUAUCCGAAUGGGAAUCCCCACCGCAAUUGCUUCGCGCAAUGGGGAACGCCGGGAAUUGAAACAUCUUAGUACCGGUCGGAAAAGAAAUCAAGUGAGAUAUCGUCAGUAACCGCGAGUGAACGCGAUACAGCCCAAACUGAAGGCUUCGGCCGAUGUGGUGUAUUGGGCCGGCGAUCAUCGUCGGAACACUUCUGUGAAGUCUCCUGGAACGGAGCGUGACACAGGGUGAAAACCCCGUAACAGAAGCUAGUAUGACGUGAGCCGGUUCCGGAGUAGCGGGGGUUGGAAAUCCCUCGUGAAUACGGCAGGCAUCUACUGCCAAGGCUAAAUACUCCUCGAGACCGAUAGCGAACAAGUAGCGCGAGCGAACGCUGAAAAGUACCCUCAGAAGGGAGGCGAAACAGGGCUUGAAAUCAGGUGGCGAUGGAGCGACGGGGCAUGAAAGGCCCCUCCGAAAACGACCUGCCCGCGAGGGCACAGUAGGACCGGAGGGGAGCCGAUGUUCCGUCGUACGUUUUGAAAAACGAACCAGGGAGUGUGCUUGUUUGGCGAGUCUAACCGGUUCAUCCGGGAAGGCACAGGGAAACCGACAUGGCCGCAGCGCUUUGCGUGAGGGCCGCCGUGUUCAAGCGCGGGGAGUCAAACGGGCACGACCCGAAACCGGACGAUCUACGCGUGGGCAAGACGAAGCGUGCCGAAAGGCACGUGGAGGUCUGCUAGUGUUGGUGUUUUACAACACCCUCACGUGACCUACGUGUAGGGGUGAAAGGCCCAUCGAGUUCGGCAACAGCUGGUUCCGACCGACAAAUGUCGAAGCAUUACCCCUGUCGAGGUAGUUCGUGGGGUAGAGAGACUGAUUGCGCGGACCGCCCUCGAGAGAGGUCGGCCGUGCUGUCAAACUCCGAACCUACGAACGCCGUCGACGCAGGGAGUUCGGUGCGCGGGGUAAGCCUGUGUACCGUGAGGGAGACAACCCAGAGUCGGGUUAAGGUCCCCAAGUGUGGACUAAGUGCGAUCGAAGGUGGUCUCAAGCCCUAGACAGCCGGGAGGUGAGCUUAGAAGCAGCUACCCUCCAAGAAAAGCGUAACAGCUUACCGGCCGAGGUUUGAGGCGCCCAAAAUGAUCGGGGCUCAAGUCCACCACCGAUACCUGACCACGCCCGUAACACGGCGAUUGUGUAGGUCGGCGUUCUGGUCGGAUGGAAGCACGGGCGAGAGCUCGCGUGGACCGACUAGAAACGAAAAUCCUGGUCAUAGUAGCAGCGAAAGUCGGGUUGAAAUCCUGACGGCCAAAAGGGCAAGGGUUCCUCAGCACUGUUCGUCAGCUGAGGGUUAGCCGGUCCUAAGACCCAUCGUAACUCGCGUAGGUCGAAAUGGGAAACAGGUUAAUAUUCCUGUGCCACCGUCCACUCAAAGUCGACGCCUUGGGGUAGACCGAGCCGGGCCAUCGCCCGGUCGAACCGUCCAACUCCGUGGAAGCCGUAAUGGCACGAAGCGGACGAACGGCGGGAUAGAGCAAUUCGGUUCAACCUGGGGCCCGUGAAAAGACGAGGACGUGUCCGUACCGAGCACCGACACAGGUGCCCAUGGCGGAGAAAGCCUAGGCCUGUCGGGAACAACCGACGUUAGGGAAUUCGGCAAUCUAGUCCCGUACCUUCGGAAGAAGGGAUGCCUGCCUCGGGAAGAGGCAGGUCGCAGUGACUUGGAGGCUCCGACUGUCUAGUAACAACAUAGGUGACCGCAAAUCCGCAAGGACUCGUACGGUCACUGAAUCCUGCCCAGUGCGGGUAUCUGAACACCUGGUACAACAGGACGAAGGACCCGUUAACGGCGGGGGUAACUAUGACCCUCUUAAGGUAGCGUAGUACCUUGUCGCUUCAGUAGCGACUCGCAUGAAUGGAUUAACGAGAGCCUCGCUGUCCCAACGUUGGGCCCGGUGAACUGUACGUUCCAGUGCGGAGUCUGGAGACCCCCAAGGGGAAGCGAAGACCCUAUAGAGCUUUACUGCAGGCUGUCGCUGGGACGUGGUCGCUACUGUGCAGUGUAGGUAGGAGCCGUUACAGAGGUACCCGCGCUAGCGGGCCACCCAGGCACCCAUGAAACACUACCCGGUAGUGACUGCGACCCUCACUCCUGGCGGAGGACACCGGUAGCCGGGCAGUUUGACUGGGGCGGUACGCGCUUGAAAAGAUAUCGAGCGCGCCCCAAGUCCAUCUCAGCCGUGUCGGAAACGCGGCGAAGAGUGCAAAAGCAAAAGAUGGACUGACAGUGUUCUUCCCAACGAGGAACGCUGACGUGAAAGCGUGGUUUAGCGAACCAAUUCGCCCGCUCGAUGCGGGCCAUUGCUGACAGAAAAGCUACCUUAGGGAUAACAGAGUCGUCACUCGCAAGAGUACAUAUCGACCGAGUGGCUUGCUACCUCGAUGUCGGUUCCCUCCAUCCUGCCCGUGCAGAAGCGGGCAAGGGUGAGGUUGUUCGCCUAUUAAAGGAGGUCGUGAGCUGGGUUUAGACCGUCGCGAGACAGGUCGGCUGCUAUCUAUUGGGGGUGUCAUUGGUAUCUGACGGGAACGUCCGUAUAGUACGAGAGGAACUACGGAUGGUGGCCACUGGUGUACCGGUCGUCCGAGAGGGCGCUGCCGGGCAGCCACGCCACGCGGGGUAACGGCUGAACGCAUCUAAGCCGGAAACCCACCUGGAAAAGAGAUACCGCAGAGGUCACUCGUAGAAGACGAGUUCGAUAGACUCGGGGUGUGCGCACCGAGGCAACGAGGUGUUCAGCCCGCGAGUACUAAUCGACCGAAGCCACCAAUC